AGGAUGAACGCUGGCGGCGUGCCUAACACAUGCAAGUCGAGCGAGAACCGCUGGAAUGACACUUCGGUAGAAUGAAAAGCGGGGAAAGCGGCGGACGGGUGAGUAACGCGUAGGUAACCUGCCCCAUACACAGGGAUAGCCUAGGGAAACCUGGAUUAAUACCUGAUGAAGCAACUGGUCGCAUGACCGGCUGCCAAAGAUUUAUCGGUAUGGGAUGGACCUGCGUCUGAUUAGUGAGUUGGUGGGGUAAUGGCCUACCAAAGCGACGAUCAGUAGCCGACCUGAGAGGGUGAUCGGCCACAUUGGAACUGAGACACGGUCCAAACUCCUGCGGGAGGCAGCAGUGGGGGAUAUUGCACAAUGGGCGGAAGCCUGAUGCAGCAACGCCGCGUGAGCGAAGAAGGUCUUCGGAUCGUAAAGCUCUGUCCUGGGGGAAGAAACAAAUGACGGUACCCCGGGAGGAAGCCCCGGCUAACUACGUG
rnacentral:rRNA from 1 species